rnacentral:rRNA from 1 species
AUUGAACGCUGGCGGCAUGCCUUACACAUGCAAGUCGAACGGUAACGGGCCUUCGGGUGCCGACGAGUGGCGAACGGGUGAGUAAUGUAUCGGAACGUACCUUUCAGUGGGGGAUAACGUAGCGAAAGUUACGCUAAUACCGCAUAUUCUGUGAGCAGGAAAGCAGGGGAUCGCAAGACCUUGCGCUGAUUGAGCGGCCGAUAUCUGAUUAGCUAGUUGGUGAGGUAAAGGCUCACCAAGGCGACGAUCUGUAGCGGGUCUGAGAGGAUGAUCAGCCAAACUGGAACUGAGACACGGUCCAGACUCCUACGGGAGGCAGCAGUGGGGAAUUUUGGACAAUGGGGGCAACCCUGAUCCAGCCAUGCCGCGUGAGUGAAGAAGGCCUUCGGGUUGUAAAGCUCUUUCGGCCGGGAAGAAAUCGUAUCAGCUAAUACCUGGUGCGGAUGACGGUACCGGCAUAAGAAGCACCGGCUAACUACGUGCCAGCCGCCGCAGUAAAAC